GAUGAACGCUAGCGGCAGGCCUAAUACAUGCAAGUCGAACGGUAGAUCGGGUAGCAAUACUUGAUUGAGAGUGACGUAAGGGUGCGUAACACGUAUGCAAUCCACCCUCAACAGGAGUAUAGCUCGGGGAAACUCGGAUUAACACUCCAUAACAUUACGAUGUGGCAUCACAUUGUGAUUAAAACUCCGGUGGUUGAGGAUGAGCAUGCGUCUGAUUAGUUAGUUGGAGGUGUAACGGACCCCCAAGACGAUGAUCAGUAGGGGAACUGAGAGGUUGAUCCCCCACACUGGCACUGAGAUACGGGCCAGACUCCUACGGGAGGCAGCAGUAGGGAAUAUUGGUCAAUGGGUGAGAGCCUGAACCAGCCAUGCCGCGUGCAGGAAGACGGCCUUCUGGGUUGUAAACUGCUUUUAUCUGGGGAUAAAAAGCCCAUGCGUGGGACAUUGAAGGUACCAGAUGAAUAAGCACCGGCUAACUACGU
rnacentral:rRNA from 1 species